UACGAAGGGGGCUAGCGUUGCUCGGAAUCACUGGGCGUAAAGCGCACGUAGGCGGCUUUCUAAGUCAGGGGUGAAAUCCUGGAGCUCAACUCCAGAACUGCCUUUGAUACUGGAGAGCUUGAGUCCGGGAGAGGUGAGUGGAACUCCGAGUGUAGAGGUGAAAUUCGUAGAUAUUCGGAAGAACACCAGUGGCGAAGGCGACUCACUGGACACAUAUUGACGCUGAGGUGCGAAAGCGUGGGGAGCAAACAGG
rnacentral:rRNA from 1 species